rnacentral:rRNA from 1 species
CCUAACACAUGCAAGUCGAGCGGAUGAAGGGAGCUUGCUCCUGGAUUCAGCGGCGGACGGGUGAGUAAUGCCUAGGAAUCUGCCUGGUAGUGGGGGAUAACGUCCGGAAACGGGCGCUAAUACCGCAUACGUCCUGAGGGAGAAAGUGGGGGAUCUUCGGACCUCACGCUAUCAGAUGAGCCUAGGUCGGAUUAGCUAGUUGGUGGGGUAAAGGCCUACCAAGGCGACGAUCCGUAACUGGUCUGAGAGGAUGAUCAGUCACACUGGAACUGAGACACGGUCCAGACUCCUACGGGAGGCAGCAGUGGGGAAUAUUGGACAAUGGGCGAAAGCCUGAUCCAGCCAUGCCGCGUGUGUGAAGAAGGUCUUCGGAUUGUAAAGCACUUUAAGUUGGGAGGAAGGGCAGUAAGUUAAUACCUUGCUGUUUUGACGUUACCAACAGAAUAAGCACCGGCUAACUUCGUGCCAGCAGCCGCGGUAAUACGAAGGGUGCAAGCGUUAAUCGGAAUUACUGGGCGUAAAGCGCGCGUAGGUGGUUCAGCAAGUUGGAUGUGAAAUCCCCGGGCUCAACCUGGGAACUGCAUCCAAAACUACUGAGCUAGAGUACGGUAGAGGGUGGUGGAAUUUCCUGUGUAGCGGUGAAAUGCGUACAUAUAGGAAGGAACACCAGUGGCGAAGG